ensembl:ribozyme RNaseP_nuc Nuclear RNase P
GCGGGAGGAAGCUCACUGUAGAGGUCACGUGCUGAGUGCCUAGUCACUCCACCAAUCAUCUCGGGGAAGGUCUGAGACAAGAGCCAAUAGCUGUCCUCACAGGACAUCAUCUGAUCCAGAUGAGCGAGUGCACAGAAACUGUGGAGCCAUAGCGGGAUGCUGAGCGCACGAGACGUCGGUAACCGCCGAUACAGUGCAGUUACCGACUGAUGCGGCUCUCGCGCGGCUUUGGAAACGCUCGCGGCUGGCGAAUGAGUGCGAUGUGUGAGCUGGUCCACGUGACCGGAACCUAAUUCAGACUACUCUCCCCCUGC